rnacentral:rRNA from 1 species
UACGUAGGUGGCAAGCGUUGUCCGGAUUUACUGGGCGUAAAGGGCGUGCAGGCGGUCUGUUUAGUCUAGGGUGAAAGCUCCCGGCUCAACUGGGAGAGGUCCUUGGAUACUGGCAGACUUGAGGGAGGCAGAGGAAAGUGGAAUUCCCGGUGUAGUGGUGAUAUGCGUAGAUAUCGGGAGGAACACCGGUGGCGAAGGCGGCGAGCUGGUCCAUUACUGACGCUGAGGCGCGACAGCGUGGGGAGCAAACAGG